rnacentral:rRNA from 1 species
UACGAAGGGUGCAAGCGUUACUCGGAAUUACUGGGCGUAAAGCGUGCGUAGGUGGUUCGUUAAGUCUGAUGUGAAAGCCCUGGGCUCAACCUGGGAAUGGCAUUGGAAACUGGCGACCUAGAGUGCGGUAGAGGGCAGUGGAAUUCCCGGUGUAGCAGUGAAAUGCGUAGAGAUCGGGAGGAACAUCUGUGGCGAAGGCGACUGCCCGGACCAGCACUGACACUGAGGCACGAAAGCGUGGGGAGCAAACAGG